rnacentral:rRNA from 1 species
UACGUAGGGAGCGAGCGUUGUCCGAAGUUACUGGGCGUAAAGCGCGCGUAGGCGGGCUGUUAAGUGAGAGGUGAAAGGCUGGGGCUUAACCCCAUGCAGUGCCUCUCAUACUGGCGGUCUUGAGUGCGGCAGGGAGAAGUGGAAUGGCUGGUGUAGCGGUGAAAUGCGUAGAUAUUGGGAAGAACACCUGAGGCGAAGGCGGGAUGCUGGGCCGACACUGACGCUGAGGCGCGAAAGCCAGGGGAGCAAACGGG